UGGUGGGAAAAAGUUUUUUACAGUUAUGGCUGAAAAUAUGAUUUCACGUAUUGGGCAAAAAUUCAAUUUGAUUUUUCUAUUUUUGAAGGAAAAUACAAUUUUGUGGUUUACCGAGAAAUGAGAUUUAAUGGUUUUGCUAGAAAAAAAUUUCUUACAUUGUUGGCAGGAAAAUACGAUUUGGACAGAAAAUAUGAUUGUAUGGAUCUGGUGGAAAAUAUGAUUUUAUGGUUUUAACGGAA
rnacentral:lncRNA from 1 species